GUUUAUGCUUUCACUUCGACCUUGGGUUGCGCAACUCGCUGUGCGCUGCCAUUUGAAAUUUGAACAGUACCGCACCGGUCGCCGUGUGUCGUCGGCUUCAGUCAGUCGGUGCUACGCAAUUGUGCUGUGUGAACGUGUUCUGUUUCGCCGCUGGUCUUCAUCACGACUGUUAGUAUUUCGGGAGACUUUAAUAGGGUGCGAGCAUUAGAAUCGUUUAGUCAUCGCUUGCUAUCAACUACUGAACAAGUGAUUUAUCUCAAAUCGACUCGAGACUUAAGACACCACUUGCGCGUGUUUAAGCCAUCAGCCGCCGGCCGUCGGAUCUCUUUCGUUGGGCUACGGAUUCUAAUUGGAUUUAUAGGCCAAAAUGGUAUUGUUAAUUAGAGGGGAUAAAUCACGCGUUUUCUCCGCGUGGCAUAGUUGUUAGUGCAAACGUUAUGCAGUGAGUAGUAACAUCAAUUCUACUAACAGUUCUACUUUGUGUGUAACGUUUGAUAAGAGAGCGUUGUGGGUUGAUGGUACAUAGGAUAUGACUUAAAUCGUACGUACGUUCGUUUUAUUUAAAAAAUGAAGAAUGUAUUGUUAAAUACAAUUAAUAAAACUCAAUUUAAAAUUAAAA